AACGAACGCUGGCGGCAGGCUUAACACAUGCAAGUCGAACGCCCCGCAAGGGGAGUGGCAGACGGGUGAGUAACGCGUGGGAACGUGCCCUUCGCUUCGGAAUAGCCCCGGGAAACUGGGAGUAAUACCGAAUACGCCGUAUUGGGAAAGAUUUAUCGGCGAAGGAUCGGCCCGCGUUAGAUUAGCUAGUUGGCGGUGUAAUGGACCACCAAGGCUACGAUCUAUAGCUGGUCUGAGAGGAUGACCAGCCACACUGGGACUGAGACACGGCCCAGACCCCUACGGGAGGCAGCAGUGGGGAAUAUUGGACAAUGGGCGCAAGCCUGAUCCAGCCAUGCCGCGUGGGUGAUGAAGGCCCUAGGGUUGUAAAGCCCUUUCGGCGGGGAAGAUAAUGACGGUACCCGCAGAAGAAGCCCCGGCUAACUUCGUGCCAGCCGCCGCGGUAACAC
rnacentral:rRNA from 1 species